rnacentral:rRNA from 1 species
GACGAACGCUGGCGGCGUGCUUAACACAUGCAAGUCGAACGGAAAGGCCCUGCUUUUGUGGGGUGCUCGAGUGGCGAACGGGUGAGUAACACGUGAGUAACCUGCCCUUUACUUUGGGAUAACUUCAGGAAACUGGGGCUAAUACCUGAUAGGAGCUCCUGCUGCAUGGUGGGGGUUGGAAAGUUUCGGCGGUUGGGGAUGGACUCGCGGCUUAUCAGCUUGUUGGUGGGGUAGUGGCUUACCAAGGCUUUGACGGGUAGCCGGCCUGAGAGGGUGAACGGCCACAUUGGGACUGAGAGACGGCCCAGACUCCUACGGGAGGCAGAAGUGGGGAAUAUUGCACAAUGGGCGGAAGCCUGAUGCAGCAACGCCGCGUGCGGGAUGAAGGCCUUCGGGUUGUAAACCGCUGUCGCCUGUGACGAAGCGUGAGUGACGGUAAUGGGUAAAGAAGCACCGGCUAACUACGUG